GGGGACACAUUGUCAGACACCCAGGCCCCCCCCGCUUCCUUCCCCCAGCCCUGCAACGCUGCAAUGUCACGGCAGACAGCUCGCGGCCUUGCUCCCCUCAGUUCCCCUCACCCCAGCCUGACUAGCAGAGGUGAGCCAGUGUGUGGGGGGGGGGGGGGGGGGGUUCUGACUGCUGUUGCUACAAGCCUCCAGGACCAGGACGAACCAUUUCACUGGGAGCUUUACAUCACUGUCUGUUUUCACUGUGGCGUUUAGGAGACAUAUCUCCCCCUAAAUAGCUUGUUUAACGCUAGCGUUUCCAGAAGGUGUUUCGGUGUUUCAUCCCCCACCACCACUCGUGUCCCCGGUCCUCUCGACGGCUGUCUCAGACAGGAUCAUUUCCACUGAUAUGGGCUGUAGUUUCCUGCUCUGUUCCAUCCCUCAUCGGGAGGCUGGCUGGAGGUUCCACUGGUCUGGUCUGGUCUGUUAAGGUCACACUGUCUGUCAGGUGGUCCUAGAACUGACUGCAGCAGCCCAGUCCACCGUACCCGAUGUGGUUUCAAGUAGUGUUUGUUUUAUUUCAAACACAUUUGCAGCACUUGAUUGAGCUUCCCUGGCUCAAUGGAACCAAUUAAAGAGUCCCCAAAAAUGCAAACCUCUAUGAUGUAGCUCUUCAGGCAGACCCAAUCAAACUCUAAAAGUAUUUAAAUGAUAACAAAUACUAUUUGAACCCAGGACUGCACCCUUAUCCAUGCUCUGUGGCCUGAUGGUUGAGCAUUAUGGUAUCCUUGUUGUUAAAGCAGCGCUCCAGUCAACCAGUCAUCCAGUUACUGAAUGUCAAACACAUUUAAAAACACAUAAUAGACUUGUAUUAGGCUUGAAUGUGCAUUGCAAAUAAGGCAAGAUUAAAUGAUUAUUAAGCUCUUAUUAAAAUGUAAGAUUUGCUCUACAACUAACUGGCUGAUGGUAAAGUAUCCCGGGGGCUAUCAGGAUGUUUUCUGUUUCUUGGAGUAUUAUUAUGACCCCAGAGUAACCUACUGUUAAAAUGGGGACAAACAUAGUUAGCUGUUCCUAAUGAGACAGUUAAGGGAACUCUGGUUCUAUACUGGGAUAGAACCAAGGACUGCAGGCGUGAUGACUUCGCAAUAUACCAUAAUAACAUACUACAUUUAGCAGAUUAUUUAAUCAAAGUGACUUGCGGUCAUGCUUGCAUACAUUUUACGCACGGGUGGUCCCGGGAAUCGAAUACACUAUCCUGGCGUUGCAAGUGCAAUGCUCUACCAACUGAGCUACAGAGGUCCACAAUAUUUGUAAUCUACGCAGUUCUAAAGAGUAUUGAUAAUACUAGACAUAUUAUAUAAUUACUAUACUGGUCAUCCCCAUUCAUUGUACCAUUGUACUCCAUUCAUAUCUCUCUCUCUCUCUCUCUCUCUCUCUCUC